ACAGGCCCCUCCCACGACAGUUUGAUUGACAGUAGCGUUUCAGCACAGACUGGACUGGCGUUUUACCUUAGACCCACCCUGAGUGAGCUGUCAUCAGUCCACCAUUGUUUGACCGCCGGAGCAGAUGUAGACAAGAAUGUCUUCUAAGCGAUUGAGGUGUUCUACUGUUGGAUGUAAUAAUGAACAUAGCAGUCGUCAUUUUCUCCUGACAUUUGAGCUGCUGAAGACACAGUGGAUUACAUUUUGUGCCCCCGAUCUACCUAAAGACAUCUAUCUUUGCGUGAAUCAAUCGUGAUCCUGCUUCACCAACAGAAAAAGCAGCCCAAAUGGCUCUGAUGGCUCUUGAAUGCACCUUUCCUAAAGCUCCAGAAAACACCUGAUUCUGUUGAAGAAAACUGUCAAAGGUUUUGGAUUGGGAAAAGCAGUUACCAGUGUGCAUGAGGUGAUUUCUCAGUAACAGAAAAAAAAAAUUGCCUUCACAAAAAAGAAGACAGAGAGAGAAAGAGCGAAGGGAGGCUGGUAAAGACAGUUCAACAUUGCAAACUUGAAUACAAAGCUCCAGCGAGCCAGCAGGAAUAUCUGGCAACACUGGCAGAACUUAAAGUGAUAGUAAUCAAAAGAGCCCACAGACAUGUUAUUGCUGACAGGAUACCACAUUCGAGUAAACAGAGUUCCUCACUCUCUGACCAGGAUACAGGAGAGGAAGACCUGGGGCCUGAUGUAUAAACGUUGCGUACGCACAAAAUGGGCAUAGAAAUAUGCAUACGCAUUUUUCCACGCACAUAUCGGGAUUCAUAAAAAAUAAACUUGGCGUAAAUAAGUGCGCACCGUAAGGAUGCUCUUGACCGUGCGUACGCACUUCUUUUUCC
ensembl:lncRNA